rnacentral:snRNA from 1 species
AACCUCGCGCAGUGGCAAUAUCGUAACCAAUGAAGGCCUCCUGAGGUGCGAUUAUUGCUAAUUUUUUCUUUAUUUUUUUUUAAUUUUUAGGCGCCACGGUAGUCG